GAUGAACGCUGGCGGCGUGCCUAAUACAUGCAAGUCGAACGAAACUUCUUUAUCACCGAGUGCUUGCACUCACCGAUAAAGAGUUGAGUGGCGAACGGGUGAGUAACACGUGGGCAACCUGCCCAAAAGAGGGGGAUAACACUUGGAAACAGGUGCUAAUACCGCAUAACCAUAGUUACCGCAUGGUAACUAUGUAAAAGGUGGCUAUGCUACCGCUUUUGGAUGGGCCCGCGACGCAUUAGCUAGUUGGUGGGGUAAAGGCUUACCAAGGCAAUGAUGCGUAGCCGAACUGAGAGGUUGAUCGGCCACAUUGGGACUGAGACACGGCCCAAACUCCUACGGGAGGCAG
rnacentral:rRNA from 1 species